GUCGAACGAAAAGACGGAAAGAGCUUGCUCUUUCCGGAAUUGAGUGGCAAACGGGUGAGUAACACGUAAACAACCUGCCUUCAGGAUGGGGACAACAGACGGAAACGACUGCUAAUACCGAAUAAGUUCCAAGGGCCGCAUGGCCCAUGGAAGAAAAGGUGGCCUCUACCUGUAAGCUAUCGCCUGAAGAGGGGUUUGCGUCUGAUUAGCUGGUUGGAGGGGUAACGGCCCACCAAGGCGACGAUCAGUAGCCGGUCUGAGAGGAUGAACGGCCACACUGGAGCUGAGACACGGUCCAGACUCCUACGGGAGGCAGCAGUGGGGAAUCUUCCGCAAUGGGCGAAAGCCUGACGGAGCAACGCCGCGUGAGUGAUGACGGCCUUCGGGUUGUAAAACUCUGUGAUCCGGGACGAAAAGGCAGACUGCGAAAAACAGACAGCAUUGACGGUACCGGAAAAGCAAGCCACGGCUAACUACGUGCCAGCAGCCGCGGUAAUACGUAGGUGGCAAGCGUUGUCCGGAAUUAUUGGGCGUAAAGCGCGCGCAGGCGGCUUCCCAAGUCCCUCUUAAAAGUGCGGGGCUUAACCCCGUGAUGGGGAGGAAACUGGGAAGCUGGAGUAUCGGAGAGGAAAGUGGAAUUCCUAGUGUAGCGGUGAAAUGCGUAGAGAUUAGGAAGAACACCGGUGGCGAAGGCGACUUUCUGGACGAA
rnacentral:rRNA from 1 species